GGGGAAUAUUGGACAAUGGGCGCAAGCCUGAUCCAGCCAUGCCGCGUGGAUGAUGAAGGCCCUAGGGUUGUAAAGUCCUUUCGGCGGGGAAGAUAAUGACGGUACCCGCAGAAGAAGCCCCGGCUAACUUCGUGCCAGCAGCCGCGGUAAUACGGAGGGGGCUAGCGUUGUUCGGAAUUACUGGGCGUAAAGCGCACGUAGGCGGCUUUGUAAGUUAGAGGUGAAAGCCCGGAGCUCAACUCCGGAACUGCCUUUAAGACUGCAUCGCUCGAACGUCGGAGAGGUAAGUGGAAUUCCGAGUGUAGAGGUGAAAUUCGUAGAUAUUCGGAAGAACACCAGUGGCGAAGGCGACUUACUGGACGACUGUUGACGCUGAGGUGCGAAAGCGUGGGGAGCAAA
rnacentral:rRNA from 1 species